rnacentral:rRNA from 1 species
CAGUAGCCACGGGAAUACGUAGGGCGCGAGCGUUACCCGGAUUUACUGGGCGUAAAGGGCGUGUAGGCGGCCUGGGGCAUCCCAUGUGAAAGGCCACGGCUCAACCGUGGAGGAGCGUGGGAUACGCUCAGGCUAGAGGGUGGGAGAGGGUGGUGGAAUUCCCGGAGUAGCGGUGAAAUGCGCAGAUACCGGGAGGAACGCCGAUGGCGAAGGCAGCCACCUGGUCCACUUCUGACGCUGAGGCGCGAAAGCGUGGGGAGCAAACCGGAUUAGAUACCCCCGUAGUCCCUGUCUCUUAUAC